CCAGGCGGGCCCAGCUAUGGGGCUCGCCUUGGACUUCCAGGGGGACCCAGGUGUGCCUGUCUGCGGGGGUGUGGGAACAGGGACACGCCUGACUGACGACUGGGGGUUUAGGGAGAAAGUGCAGGCUGAAGGGUGGGGGUGUGACCAGAAGAGAUCAGAUGGAGGGCCCCAGUUGCCCUAAGCCCACUCCAUCCCCACCCGGUGACCCCUUCCCCCUCGGCCUGUCUGCACUCUCCAGCCCCAGGUCCAGGCUGCGCCCGCCACUUGCUGCACCUCUGCCUACUUCCCUGCUCAAUUCCUGGGCCCCGACCCCAGCCCCAGCCUCUCCCGCCUGCCCUGCUCAUCCUCCCCCGGCCCCUCCCCCGCUGCCUUCCUACAAGUCACGGGGCUGGUUUGCUUUGGCAGCCUCCGCCCGGCCGCAGUGACCUCUGGAGCCAGAAAGUCCUAGCACUAGAUGGGGGGGAUGGGGGGCUUGGCCCGGAAAACACAGCGCUAAGGGCAGAGGCCCAGGCCAAGUGGCCGGAAGCGUCCGCAGGCAGAUAACACACUGUCCCGCCAGCAGCCAGGCGCGGUCCACGUCAGACCCAGGGCCAGGGAGCGCUCCCCUCUGGAUGGUGCUGAGAGAUGGCGCCCUGGGCCGCUCCACUGCCUCCUCCCCGCCUGGCUCCGGGUGUUCCUCUCUGGCAAGUGCGAAGCUGCCCUGUGUGCCCUCACUCCUCGCAGCCACCCAACUCACGCGUUCUCUUGUGCAGCAGUCUCCGUGGCGGCAGCGAUCUUCUUGUAGCAGUAAACCAUCUCUGCCACGAGCCAUAUGGUCAACACGACGAUGAGCACAUACAUCAUGAUCUCAGACA